CCCUUAGAUGUUCUGGGCCGCACGCGCGCUACACUGAUGCAUUCAACGAGUUUCUUCCUGGUCCGAGAGGAAUGGGUAACCUUUUGAAAGUGCAUCGUGAUAGGGAUAGACUAUUGCAAUUAUUGAUCUUCAACGAGGAAUUCCUAGUAGACGUAGUUCAUCAGACUGCAUCGAUUACGUCCCUGCCCUUUGUACACACCGCCCGUCGCUCCUACCGAUUGAAUGCUCAGGUGAGCCAUUCGGACUUUCAUCAUGCUGGUUUCCAGUUUUGAUGAAGGAAAGUCUUGCGAACCUUAUCAUUUAGAGGAAGGAGAAGGCGUAACA
rnacentral:rRNA from 1 species